rnacentral:rRNA from 1 species
GUCGAACGAGGUUUGUUUGAUUGAAUUCUUCGGAAUGAUUUCUUUAAAACCGAGUGGCGGACGGGUGAGUAACACGUGGGUAACCUGCCCUUAAGUGGGGGAUAACAUUUGGAAACAGAUGCUAAUACCGCAUAAACCUUCGGACCACAUGGUCCGGAGUUGAAAGGCGGCUUUCGAGCUGUCGCUUUUGGAUGGACCCGCGGCGUAUUAGCUAGUUGGUGAGGUAAAGGCUCACCAAGGCUGUGAUACGUAGCCGACCUGAGAGGGUGAUCGGCCACAUUGGGACUGAGACACGGCCCAAACUCCUACGGGAGGCAGCAGUAGGGAAUCUUCCACAAUGGACGCAAGUCUGAUGGAGCAACGCCGCGUGAGUGAAGAAGGCUUUCGGGUCGUAAAACUCUGUUGUUGGAGAAGAACACGUUUGAGAGUAACUGUUCAGACGUUGACGGUAUCCAACCAGAAAGCCACGGCUAACUACGUGC